AAGGAAUGGAGCAACUUUCAGUGAGGUGCUUGGUCAAAGAUUGCGAUCUUUGGCUUGGUGUGAGAAAACACAUGUGCAGGAUGGAAUAAUCUUUGUGGAAGAGGAGGCAAAGCUAUUCAGAGAUACCCACCAAGGCAGAAUAUGCCACUUGGAAGUAAGCUUACCUUUCCUAAAGGAUCUAAUGACUACUUGCUGGCUUUGUCAACUUUUGAACAACCACCAUGCCAUCUACAAGGGCAAUUUUGUGAGUGGGAUGAGACAUUCUACAUUGACAUUCUAUGUCCUCACAUCCAGGUUGUAGUUGCUCCUCAUUAUCUUUGUAUUCCUUUGCCAAAUUUUCUAAAAGAUGUAUCAAUUUAGAUUUGUCUGAGCAUUGAAGUGCAUCCCCACUGGAGGCAAAAAGAGCUUGUGGUGUUUGCGUGAACUCAUACUGUAGUUGCCCACAGCCUGCUUUUGGUCAACAUGUCUGUUAGACCUGGCAAGGAACAGUAGUCUCCCAUAGAGAUUUUUGGUCUCUCUGAGAGCCACAGUUUUACAGAG